rnacentral:lncRNA from 1 species
UUCUUUUCGAGGUCGGCCGCGUGGCUGGAAGACAUGGCCACUCCAGUCGGUGUUGAGCACGGCGAGCAGUCUCAGGCCUUUAGUGAUGAUGAUUAAAGGUGGUGGCUGUGGCCUUGAAAACAGUCAUGUGAAAACUCAUCACCUUAAGGUGUUAAGUGUGCAGUCAGCCUCAGUUUCCAAAGCCGGAAAAGGAUCCUCUAGUAGCCACGGUGUGGCAGCUGCUCUGAACCAGGACCUGGACCCGGACCCAAAGUGCCAUGUCUUUAAUGUUAGCUCCCAGCGAUGCCAGAUGGGAUCAGCACAGCCCUGCCUCUGCUGCUAAUUGUUCCUCUAAAGUAAUCGCCAUGCGUUCUUUGGGCUUCAUCUUUAAAGGAAUGAAGCAACUGAGAUUAUUCUGGAAAACCUUUUGGCAGUUAGUGAAAUUAGAGUACAACUAAGAACAUUUUCAGACCUCCACUGUGGAUGACCUGGGUAUAAUCUCACAAAUCGAUGGGACUGCAAGGAUUGUAAACUGAAAUGAACAUGAUUAUACUCUGUUGGAAGAGCCUAAGAGGAAACUGAUGCCAUGAGUUUCAGAGAGUAAUGCUUAACCCCAGUUACACAGGAUGCCGUCUUGUGUUUCCUCUUGUUUAGUUACCCACUACAGUGAUUUUGUGAUCUGCUAAUGGGUUGCCACCCACAACCAUUGCUUUAGCACUUUUACUUCAAAUCAAUGAAGGAUUGAUAAAAGUUC